rnacentral:misc_RNA from 1 species
UCAUUUUCAAUUUUCCAUACAGAUCAAAGUAAAAUGCAAUCUUGCCAAGCAAACAAAAGACAGCUUUUCAAAAAGAUUAUCCUCGGUCUGUGAUUACAUUAUUACACCAAAGAUCAUAAGAUCAAGCCUUCAGUAGCCUGCUUGCCUCAAGCAUCCUGCUUGCUUUUCUGUCCUUCAAACUUAUCUAUAGCAACCUGAAGCUCAUCUGUACCACCAACAGCUCUCAUAGUGUAAAAAUAUACCCCCAAGACAAAUGCUGACAAGCCACCAGCAACUACCAAAUUCUUAGUCUUCGGUGAAAGGUUCCUGAAUCCCAAGAUUCCAGUCAUCUUGCGAGGAAAAACUCACAGCCAAGCUUUAUGCAAACAAAGCUGACAAUUGUCGGAUCGAUAGGAAAAUCAAAACCCUGUAAACCCUAGAAACCAAUCUCUCUCUUUCUUU